UAAAAAAAACUUGUGCUUCAAAGAUUC
rnacentral:piRNA from 1 species